rnacentral:lncRNA from 1 species
GGAUCAGAGUUUUGAUGUUUUAGUUGGGUUCGUACGGUUAUUUUGAACUUCGACAAUAUUUUCGGAAUUUAAUUCAGGGAUCCCAAAACUGGAACUAAUAGUACAGACUUGAAAUACCAAAACAAAAGUGAAAUCUUCCCGGUGGUUAUUUGCAAUUAUCGAACUAAUUCUUUUCUACAGAAACAACUAAAGAAACUACAUGCUAGUAUUAAACUCUUAAACAGUCAAAACCAAAAAGCUAAACCUCCUAUUACAGUCUAAGAAUUGCGAUAUCAAAGAUUAUAAGCAAAAUGUGAACACU